rnacentral:pre_miRNA from 1 species
UCAAAACCAGUCACUUGUGAUUUUCUAAUUGGUUCUUAGUGUGUUAAAAAAGUUAUGAGAAUCAAUUAGAAAAUAACAAGUGGCUAAUUUUGG